AUCCUUUUGUAGUUCAUAAGCAUGACAAUUGGUUUGUCACACAGCUGCGUGAGAUGUGCCACCCAUAAAACUUGUUUAUCUGUCUGACA
ensembl:snoRNA